rnacentral:rRNA from 1 species
UACGACUACAUAUCAGGCAUAUCAAUAAGCGGAGGAAAAGAAACUAACAAGGAUUCCCUUAGUAACGGCGAGUGAAGCGGGAAGAGCUCAAAUUUGAAAUCUUCAAGGUUCUACCUUGACGAAUUGUAGUUUAAAGAAGUGUUUUCUGUUAGAUGAGUAGCAAAAGUUCCUUGGAAUGGGACAUCAUAGAGGGUGAGAAUCCCGUAUUUGGUUAUUCAUUCUAGCUUUGUGAUACACUUUCAAAGAGUCGGAUUGUUUGGGAAUGCAGUCCAAAAUGGGUGGUAAAUUUCAUCUAAAGCUAAAUAUUGGCGAGAGACCGAUAGCGAACAAGUACCGUGAGGGAAAGAUGAAAAGAACUUUGAAAAGAGAGUUAAACAGUACGUGAGAUUGUCAAAAGGGAAGCGUUUGACACCAGUGUUGUUUUUCCGAAAAUCAAUUACGAAUGGCUUGAUUUUGUGUUGUAUUGACCUUAUCAGCUUUCUUCACUUUUUUCGAGUCUUUCUUAAUGCACUUUUCGGUUAACAAGUCAACAUCAAUUUCUUUUGUUGUAAAAGAGUAUUCGGAAGGUGGCUUUCUUUUCGGAGAAAGUGUUUAUAGCCCUAUACUUCUACAAUCGGAGAGAUUGAGGUCUGCAGCGUAGAUCCUUCGGGGUUAGAUACACUUGUGCUAAGUUGUAGCUUUUCAUAGACAACUUGUUGACUAUGUUUAGUCAUGCGGCUUACUCGCUUAUGCUAUUUUACCUACGCUUAGGAUGUUGAGUAGCGACAUACGCAC